AAAAACAUACGAAUUUUGUGGAGAAAUACGCAAGUAGAAUGGAGAAAGAAUAAUCUAAGAAAUGGGAAUGGAUUCUUUAGCAUUUUUCUAGUGCAUACUGAUCAAUUUAUAUGCCUGAAUAAGAACUGUAUCACAAAAAAAGGCAGCUGCUACUGAUCAAUUUAUAUGCCUGAAAAAGAACUGUAUCGCAAAAAAAGGCAGCUGCUACUUCAUAUGUAUCGUAGAAAAUAUUCUAGAACAUUCGUCGGAGAGAUCUUCGUAAAUGUGUAUGUAUACAGGAAACUAUUCAUAUAUGUAUGAGUGUAGGUAUAUAUUAAAUAUAUAGUAUGUAUAACAGCAAUAAACUACGCAGCUGCAUUUAAAAUAAUAGCUUGGAGUGAGUGAAACGAAAGUAGACUUGUGUGGUGUGGAAACUUUUGCGUAUACACAAAAUUCGUCACCAGGUAGAGAAUCACGUAUACAUAAUUUUCGUACUAAGUAUAUAACUAUGUAUCUAUACAUUAUGUAUACAUAUGACUGAAAAAAAAAAUACUUGUGAUACAGAAGUGCGCACCUAGUAUGGAAAAUUCCAAUUUCGCAACGCGGCGUUAACAAAUGGCAGUUCAGAUAUGUACGACGCAGUUUUUAGAUACGAAAAAAGGUAUGACU